GGCGGCGUGCCUAACACAUGCAAGUCGAACGAGAAAGUGGAGCAAUCCAUGAGUAAAGUGGCGACCGGGUGAGUAACACGUGACUAACCUACCCUCGAGUGUGGAAUAACAUCGGGAAACCGAUGCUAAUACCGCAUAAUAUCGCAAGAUCAAAGCAGCAAUGCGCUUGAGGAGGGGGUCGCGGCUGAUUAGCUAGUUGGCGGGGUAACGGCCCACCAAGGCGAAGAUCGGUAGCCGGCCUGAGAGGGCGCACGGCCACACUGGAACUGAAACACGGUCCAGACUCCUACGGGAGGCAGCAGUGGGGAAUUUUGCGCAAUGGGGGAAACCCUGACGCAGCAACGCCGCGUGGAGGAUGAAGCCCCUUGGGGUGUAAACUCCUUUCGACCAAGACGAUAAUGACGGUACUGGUGGAAGAAGCACCGGCUAACUCUGUGCCAGCAGCCGCGGUAAUACAGAGGGUGCAAGCGUUGUUCGGAAUUAUUGGGCGUAAAGGGCGCGUANGCGGCGCGGUAAGUCACCUGUGAAAUCUCCGAGCUUAACUCGGAGCCUGCAGGCGAAACUGCCGUGCUGGA
rnacentral:rRNA from 1 species